GGAAGUAAAAGUCGUAACAAGGUCUCCGUUGGUGAACCAGCGGAGGGAUCAUUAUAGAGUUUUCUAAACUCCCAACCCAUGUGAACUUACCAUUGUUGCCUCGGCAGAAGCUGCUCGGCGCGCCUUACCUUGGAACGGCCUACCCUGUAGCGCCUUACCCUGGAACGGCUUACCCUGCAACGGCUGCCGGUGGACUACCAAACUCUUGUUAUUUUAUGGUUAUCUGAGCGUCUUAUUUUAAUAAGUCAAAACUUUCAACAACGGAUCUCUUGGUUCUGGCAUCGAUGAAGAACGCAGCGAAAUGCGAUAAGUAAUGUGAAUUGCAGAAUUCAGUGAAUCAUCGAAUCUUUGAACGCACAUUGCGCCCAUUAGUAUUCUAGUGGGCAUGCCUGUUCGAGCGUCAUUUCAACCCUUAAGCCUAGCUUAGUGUUGGGAGCCUACUGCUUUUGCUAGCUGUAGCUCCUGAAAUACAACGGCGGAUCUGCGAUAUCCUCUGAGCGUAGUAAUUUUUAUCUCGCUUUUGACUGGAGUUGCAGCGUCUUUAGCCGCUAAACCCCCCAAUUUUUAAUGGUUGACCUCGGAUCAGGUAGGAAUACCCGCUGAACUUAAGCAUAUCAAUAAGCGGAGGA
rnacentral:rRNA from 2 species